rnacentral:lncRNA from 1 species
CGCACCUUCAGUGUACAGCACACCCCGAGGGUCGCUACAAGAGCCCACCCCAACCUUAAUGUCUGGCUAUCCCUGGGUAUUGGUACCAGGACUUCCUAUAUCCAAUAAUUCUUCCCAACUGUCGGUACAAGCACCUCCUACACCCAAUAACUCCCCCCAAGGGUCAGUACACGGAUCCAUCACGCCCUCUCUUUCCGGCUAUCCUUGGUUACCAAUACCAGUACCUCGUACACUCUAUAUCCCUUCUCAAAUGUCGGUUCAAGGACCUUCGACGCCCAAUAACGCCUCCCAAAUAUCAAUACAAGAGUCCGCCAUGCCCUCAGUGCUCAGCACUCCCCGGAAUUCGUUACAAAUACCUCCUGUACCAAAUAACACCCCCCGAGUGUCAGUACAAGAGCCCGCCCCGUUCUCAGCGCCCGGCUCCCCGCUGGUAUCUCUGGAAGGAUCAGCUCCGCCCCCAGGCGCUCCCCGAGUGUCAGCACCAGAGUCCGCCCCGCCUUCAUUGCCCUACCCCUGGGUAUCAUUAGAAAGAUUGGCUCCGCCCCCGGACGCUGGGCUAGAGGGGGUAAAAGGGUCCGCCUGGUCCUUGGCGGUCCCCACUCUUAUACCCACGCCUCCGCCUCCGGAGAGUUCCAACCAAAGCAUGGCGAGUCGGGAGAAAGCGAGUACCGCAGGCCACAUGUUCGACGUAGUCGUGAUAGGAGGCGGCAUCUCAGGUCAGUGUGCACCAUAGCAGUGGCCUGAGGGUCCCUGGCCUG